GCGGAUGUGUCGUAAUUGGUAGCCGAGCCAGACUUAGGAUCUGGUGCCGAGAGGCGUAAGGGUUCGAGUCCCUUCAUCCGCA
rnacentral:tRNA from 1 species